CAGUGGGUGAAAGCCCCACCCGGCAACAUGCUCCAGCCGGAAGCAACCGGGGCAGGCAUGGAGGUGACGAAAUGUCUGAAGCCCCCGGAUGACGGUCACAUAGGUGACCGUGCGAGUGUGCAGGCCGCAACGUGA
rfam:Sphingomonas sanxanigenens NX02, complete genome.